rnacentral:rRNA from 1 species
AUGCCAGGAACUCACAAUGACAUCAACGUACUGCAGUGCUUGAAUGUCUUUGCCAAGCUUGUUGAAGGUCAUGCUCCUCCGGUGAAUUUCGAGGUCAAUGGGCGCCACUACAACAAGGGAUACUACCUAGCAGAUGGCACCUAUCCGAGAUGGUCCACAUUUAUGAAGACUAUCUCAAACCCUGUGUCAGGAGGCAAGAACUCCUACUUUGCCAAGUGUCAGGAGGCUUGCAGGAAGGAUGUCGAGCGGGCAUUUGGUGUGCUCCAAUCUCGAUUUGCUGUUGUCCGGUACCCCGCUCUAACCUACUCGAAAGAUCAAAUGUGGGAAGUGAUGACUUGUUGUGUCAUCUUGCACAACAUGAUCAUUGAGAGCAAGCAGGAAGAGUCAGUGUUUGACAAUGAACCAUAUUAUAGGCAGGGUCCUCUUGCCCAAGUUGAUCACCAGGUACCGGCAUCAUGGGUUGCCUUCCUCAAUAUGCGUCAGGAGAUCCAAAACCCACAGGUGCAUCAAGAACUGCAGCACGAUCUGGUGGAGCACCUAUGGAGGCUCAAGGGCAACGCCUACUUCGAUGUGUGA